rnacentral:rRNA from 1 species
UACGGGGGGGGCAAGCGUUGUUCGGAAUUACUGGGCGUAAAGGGCUCGUAGGCGGCCAACUAAGUCAGACGUGAAAUCCCUCGGCUUAACCGGGGAACUGCGUCUGAUACUGGAUGGCUUGAGAUUGGGAGAGGGAUGCGGAAUUCCAGGUGUAGCGGUGAAAUUCGUAGAUAUCUGGAGGAACACCGGUGGCGAAGGCGGGUCUCUGGGCCGUAACUGACGCUGAGGAGCGAAAGCGUGGGGAGCGAACAGG